AACGAACGCUGGCGGCAGGCUUAACACAUGCAAGUCGAACGCCCCGCAAGGGGAGUGGCAGACGGGUGAGUAACGCGUGGGAAUCUACCCAGAUCUUCGGAACAACUGAGGGAAACUUCAGCUAAUACCGGAUACGCCCUACGGGGGAAAGAUUUAUCGGUUCUGGAUGAGCCCGCGUUGGAUUAGCUAGUUGGUGGGGUAAUGGCCUACCAAGGCGACGAUCCAUAGCUGGUCUGAGAGGAUGAUCAGCCACACUGGGACUGAGACACGGCCCAGACUCCUACGGGAGGCAGCAGUGGGGAAUAUUGGACAAUGGGCGAAAGCCUGAUCCAGCCAUGCCGCGUGAGUGAUGAAGGCCUUAGGGUUGUAAAGCUCUUUCAGUAGGGAAGAUAAUGACGGUACCUACAGAAGAGGCCCCGGCUAACUUCGUGCCAGCCGCCGCAGUAACAC
rnacentral:rRNA from 1 species